rnacentral:rRNA from 1 species
UACGUAGGGACCAAGCGUUGUUCGGAUUUACUGGGCGUAAAGGGCGCGUAGGCGGCGCGGUAAGUCACUUGUGAAAUCUCUGAGCUUAACUCAGAACGGCCAAGUGAUACUGCAGUGCUAGAGUGUGGAAGGGGCAAUCGGAAUUCUUGGUGUAGCGGUGAAAUGCGUAGAUAUCAAGAGGAACACCUGAGGUGAAGACGGGUUGCUGGGCCAACACUGACGCUGAUGCGCGAAAGCCAGGGGAGCAACCGGG